UACAGAGGGGGCAAGCGUUGUUCGGAAUUACUGGGCGUAAAGGGCGCGUAGGCGGCCGCCUAAGUCAGACGUGAAAUCCCUCGGCUUAACCGGGGAACUGCGUCUGAUACUGGAUGGCUUGAGUUUGGGAGAGGGAUGUGGAAUACCCGGUGGAGCGGUGAAAUGCGUAGAGAUCGGGUGGAACACCAGCGGCGAAGGCGGCAUCCUGGCCCUGUACUGACGCUGAGGCGCGAUAGCGUGGGGAGCAAACAGG
rnacentral:rRNA from 1 species